CAGGUCUGCAAGGCCAGGCAGUAGAGAAGGAGCCAGCAGGGGAGAGGUUCCUGCACAGCAUUAGAUGUGUCUGACUUCUAAGGAAAAUGAGACUCCAGACACAUUGAUGGGGCAUCAACAAGACUGUGGAUAGGAAAUGAGUGAGCUGCCAACUAUUGAGCUGCUGAGCCGGAGACCACAAGACUCCACUUCUGUCUCCAUCAUCGCAGAGCCCUGCCAUCUGGAGCAGACCUCUGAGGAGAACUCAGGAGGAACAGGGGCUCCCACAGCACCCAUUCCACCAACUGAGAAAGAGACCACAGGCACAGAAGAGGGCACCACAGCAGGACAGUCCAAUCAGGGCUCUAGGACCACUUGACCAGGCUCUCCAGGCAGUGCCAGUGGCUCCACUGUGUCUGGAUCAUCUGUGGCAGGGCAACACACCAAGGCUCCAUCAUCCCAGGGCUCUGGCACCACUGGACCAGCACCUAAUGACUCUGGAAAAACAGGGCCACCUGCAGAAAGCUCUGGGACCUCAGGCAAGCCUCAGUAAGGAUGUCAGUCCACAAGCUCAUCUGUCCAUCGACCUGGCACCUCUCAACCAGCUGCAGUGCAGACUAGAACCACUGGGCUAUCUGUCAUGGAGGCAGGAA